GUGUCAGCAGCCGCGGUAAUACGGAGGGUGCAAGCGUUGUUCGGAAUCACUGGGCUUAAAGCGCGUGUAGGCGGAGCGCCAAGUGUCGUGUGAAAGCCCCGAGCUCAACUCGGGAAUCGCGCGGCAAACUGGCGUUCUUGAGGCAAGUAGAGGUGACUGGAACGACCGGUGGAGCGGUGAAAUGCGUAGAUAUCGGUUGGAACGCCGGAGGCGAAAGCGGGUCACUGGGCUUGUCCUGACGCUAAGACGCGAAAGCGUGGGGAGCAAACAGGAUUAGAUACCCUGGUAGUCCACGCCGUAAACGAUGCGCACUAGGUCUGAGAGGCUCUCACGCCCCUCGUGCCGAAGCAAAAGUGCUAAGUGCGCCGCCUGGGGAGUACGGCCGCAAGGCUAAA
rnacentral:rRNA from 1 species